GUGCCCUUCUCCUCCUGGUUUUCUCAGGGCUAAAAAUACGAGGUCUCCCCUCAAGGGGCCUUCGCUGAAGCCCAGCUCAUGUCCCACCCAGUUUCUCAGUCCCUCUUGAGGGUCUGGGAUGUAGACUGUGGCCCGACAUGUUUGUUUCCUUUCUAGCACUUUCUACAAUCUCUAAUACUCUCGCUUUCUUAUUAGUUUGGUGAGAUUACCUUCCCCAUGCCUCCACUAGGGUACUGUCUCCAUAAGGGCAGGCGCUUCUUCUGUUCAUAGAGCGUGGGGCCAGGUGCACGGCUGGCGCUCCACAAGCCGUCAGUGAGUGGGUGAACAAAGGGAUGAGCGACUCAGGACACGCGCCUGGCAGCCAAUCUCCACAGAGUCCCCUCAUGAGGACUUUACAAUUCAGGGGACACAGAGGCCUGGAUUAUGGCCUCCCAAGGAGGGUCUGGCCUCAAUCUAGUUCUCUCUAUCUCUCUCUCUCUCUCUCUCACACACACACACACACACACACACACACCACGCCACCUUUCAGCACAGGCCCACCUGCCCCCAUCCCCUCCCGAAAUGCCCUGCCACAUGUGUCAACGUGGAGGACGCAUUUAAGACAUGAGGCCGGGAGCCCAGAGUAGCCGCUGUAGCAUGGAGGCAGGUCUGCGAGCCAGCAGGCAGGCUGCCAUCAUUUACGGGAAAUGCGCUGCUGAGGAGAAAGGGUGGUAGGUUGUUUAGCCCACUCCUGGCCGCUGUCCAGACUGGGUCAGGAAGCUUUGCUCUGUGCCAGCAUCACCCACGCAGGCUCAGUUCCUCCCCAUACAGCUUGUCCAGAGAUCCACAAGGCAAGCCGGGAAGUCACUGCCCAUCUCUCUCCUUCCUAUGUAUCCAAAGCAACAACAACAAAAACCAAAAUAGCAGUUUGUGGACUCAGAUGCUUUGCAGUCAGCAUGCUUUGAAGCUCAGCUCUGCCUCUUCUCAGUCGGGAGAUAAAUAGCUUGGACAAGUCACUAAACCUCUCUGAACCU
rnacentral:lncRNA from 1 species